AUGAGUCACAAUGUAUCAUUGUGGUACACUUUCGGUGGCGGCACCAAACUCAUCGUUGACUUGGGUGUGGUACGUCCCUUCCUGACCGUCCUACUCCCCUCCAGUGAGGAGCAGGACCAGGGGAAUGUGGCCCUAGUGUGCCUGGCCAACAGGGGCUUCCCGGAGGGCUGGAAGCUGGGUUGGAGGCUGGGGGCCGGGGGGGCCUUGCAGGGCAGCCAGAGCCUGGAGGUCCUGGAGAAGGACGGUCACUACAGCUGGAGCAGCAGCCUCACCCUCCCCACUGACCAGUGGAGGAAGGCUGGCUCAGUCACCUGUGAGGCCACCCUAAAGGACCAGACCCCCGUCACUCACACACUGGAGCCACACCACUGCUCCCAGUAGACACCCUGUACACAGA